rnacentral:rRNA from 1 species
AUGCGGUAUGACGGUACCCUUUCGAAUAAGAGGUUGCUAACUCUGUGCCAGCAGCAGCGGUAAUACAGAGACCUCGAGCGUUAUCCGGAUUUACUGGGCGUAAAGCGUCUGUAGGGGGUUUGUUAAGUUCCAAGUAAAAUCUUAAGGCUCAACUUUAAGUUCGCUUGGAAAAACUAAUAAACUGGAGUCCAGCAGAGGUGCAUGGAACUUGCGGUGUAGGAGUGAAAUCCGUUGAUAUCGCAAGGAACACCAAAGGCGAAGGCAUUGCACUGGGCUGGUACUGACCCUGAGAGACGAAAGCGUGGGGAGCAAAACGGAUUAGAUACCCGUGUAGUCCACGCCGUAAACGAUGGAUACUAGAUGUUCGGGGAUUCGACCCCCUGGGUGUCACAGUUAACGCGUUAAGUAUCCCGCCUGGGAAGUACGGCCGCAAGGCUAAAACUCAAAGGAAUAGACGGGGAUCCGCACAAGCGGUGGAGCGUCUGGUUUAAUUUGAUAGUAAGCAAUGGACCUCACCAAGGUUUGGCAUCCUAUGACAACCCUGGAAACAGGGCUUCCUUCGGGCAUAGUGACAGGUGCUGCAUGGUCGUCGUCAGUUCGUGCCGUGAGGUGUUCCGUUAAGUCGGGAAACGAACGAAACCCUCGUCGCAUGUUACAAAUUUCAUGCGAGACUGCCCGGGUCAACCGGGAGGAAGGCGGGGAUGACGUCAGAUCAGCAUGGCCCUUAUACCUUGGGCUACACAGGCGCUACAAUGGCCGGUACAAAGGGUUGCAAAACCGCGAGGUGAAGCUAAUCCCAUAAAGCCGGUCCAAGUUCGGAUUGGAGGCUGCAACUCGCCUCCAUGAAGUUGGAAUCGCUAGUAAUCGUGGAUCAGCCAUACCACGGUGAUACGUUCCCGGAUCUUGUACUCACCGCCCGUCACACCAAGAGAGUUGGUAGCUCCUGAAGC